rnacentral:rRNA from 1 species
AGACUUACCUAAUCUUUGCUAAUUGUAAUGCGCCCGUCGCUGUUUAAAUUUUUUGGCCGGUUUGCUCGUCGGGGUAACGGGCCCUGGUUUGUUACGAAACUGGUGAGCGCCUAACUUGCGUAUUUUUUGCUCAUUUUCGGGUGAAUUGUUUUUCUCCUCAAUACGUCUGAGUGUUAAAACUACCAAUAUAUUUCAUAGCACACGUUCGUUACAAAAUUUUCGUAUUCAGCUAAGAAGCUACUAUCUUAUUUAUAUUUUAUCCACUACUAGGCCAUAUGGGAUGAUGUGAGUUCUUAAAGACUCGUAUUAACAAGGAAAAAGCCUGGUAUGCUGGAAAUAAAUGUGAUGAUCCCCAAGCGAAAAGUUUUGACCACUUAUGCAGGGCCUACUUGUGCCUAAGAGCGUGUCCUUUGGAAGAAUUGGUUAAAGCGAUGUGUUUGGCUUCGAUUGUGACCCUGUGUAGGGAUAAUCGCUCGAUGUGCGAUGCUUGUAAUAGCUAAUAUUAGCGCCGGUCUUGAAGUCAGUGGUCUAUCUGACCCGUCUUGAAACACGGACCAAGGAGUGUAGCGUUUACGCAAGUCUUAGAGUGUAUUGAAACUUAGAGGCAGAACGAAAGUGAAUAUAGCUGGAUCUAUUGAAUUGGGAUACGUUGUUUCUUGUGAAUGGUGUAGGACCAUGGUUUUAUCGCGACAGCUUGCUGUGCGGUGAAAAUUGAGCGUAAAUGGUGCGACCCGAAAGAUGGUGAACUAUGCCUGAGCAGGAUAAAGCCGGAGGAAACUCUGGUGGAAGUCCGAAGCGGUUCUGACGUGCAAAUCGAUCGUCUGACUUGGGGUAUAGGGGCGAAAAGACUAAUCGAACUAUCUAGUAGCGGGUUUCCUUUCCGGA